rnacentral:rRNA from 1 species
AUUGAACGCUGGCGGCAGGCCUAACACAUGCAAGUCGAACGGUAACAGGAAGAAGCUUGCUUCUUUGCUGACGAGUGGCGGACGGGUGAGUAAUGUCUGGGAAACUGCCUGAUGGAGGGGGAUAACUACUGGAAACGGUAGCUAAUACCGCAUAACGUCGCAAGACCAAAGAGGGGGACCUUCGGGCCUCUUGCCAUCGGAUGUGCCCAGAUGGGAUUAGCUAGUAGGGGGGGUAACGGCUCACCUAGGCGACGAUCCCUAGCUGGUCUGAGAGGAUGACCAGCCACACUGGAACUGAGACACGGUCCAGACUCCUACGGGAGGCAGCAGUGGGGAAUAUUGCACAAUGGGCGCAAGCCUGAUGCAGCCAUGCCGCGUGUAUGAAGAAGGCCUUCGGGUUGUAAAGUACUUUCAGCGGGGAGGAAGGGAGUAAAGUUAAUACCCUUGCUCAUUGACGUUACCCGCAGAAGAAGCACCGGCUAACUCCGUG